rnacentral:rRNA from 1 species
CAGCCGCCGCGGUAAUACGUAGGGAGCGAGCGUUAUCCGGAUUUAUUGGGCGUAAAGCGUCCGCAGCCGGUUUAUUAAGUAUAGAAUUAAAGCCUGGGGCUCAACCCCAGUUCGUUCUAUAAACUGAUAGGCUAGAGUGUGGUAGAGGCAAGUGGAAUUUCUAGUGUAGCGGUAAAAUGCGUAGAUAUUAGAAGGAACACCAGUGGCGAAGGCGACUUGCUGGGCCAUCACUGACGGUCAGGGACGAAAGCGUGGGGAGCAAAUAGGAUUAGAUACCCUAGUAGUCCACGCCGUAAACUAUGAGUACUAAGUGUCGGGUUACCGGUGCUGAAGUUAACACAUUAAGUACUCCGCCUGAGUAGUACGGUCGCAAGGCUGAAACUUAAAGGAAUUGACGGGCACCCGCACAAGCGGUGGAGCAUGCUGUUUAAUUCGAAACUACGCGAAAAACCUUACCUAGAUUUGACAUCCCGGGCAAAGCUAUAGAAAUAUAGUGGAGGCUAUCCCGGUGACAGAUGGUGCAUGGCC